AGAGAAAAAAACAGUAUUUUUUUUUUUUAAAGGAAGCUUGUCAUUUUACUCUUCAUUCCCAAAAUGGGAAUUGAUAGAGACAGAAAAAUUAUAUUUUUUUAAGUUUUUCUUCAUUGAGAGAAAUACUCUGUUUCCUGAUAUGAACAGUUGCAAUUAAUGAUCUAACUGGGUCCAUUAAAAGAUACAAAUAGUACUUGGCUGUAAAAUCAGUAAAAACAGCACGUGACUUUUUUACAGGAUUAUCAUGCACUCUAAACACCAAGUGCUUACAGCCUCUGAAAGUCGCCUGCCUGGAGCUCAUACUCUUGUUCAGACCAUUAGUAGCCUCUUUGAUGAAUUAAAAUUUAGGUUACAUCAGUAUUACUCCAACGGUAUCUCUUUAUUCUCUGUACUUACUUUCCAUUAACAAAUAUUUAAAUCUAUGUUAGCCAGCUUUUAGUUUCCUCCUCUUAUGAAGUAUCCAGUUGGGAAAUGGGUGAGUUUCUCUAAUAAAAUAUUCUGAUCAUUGAGAGAUGGAGAAAAAUGGCAGGAUCCAUUUUAAAGAAAUGGCUACAUUUGAAAUAAACUAUUGUUUUUGUCAUAGCCUACCCUCUUCCAUUUUGCCUAUUUGUAGUAUAAUGUUCAAAAUUAAUGUUACAUAAAAUUGAAUACAGGAACAUCAAAGGCUCUGUGGCUUAGAACUUAAUGAGGGUAGCAAUAAUAAAAGGAGUUUUGUUUAAAAAAAGAAAGCCCCCUUCUCCCAAUUUUUCUUUGUUUUCUGUUCUUUGGUAGUAAUGUGUUUUCUAGGUAACCAUUCAGCAAUCCUCAAACAUGAACCAAUAGCUUGGGUAUGUUUAAGUCUCUACAUCUCUUGGGAAGUAAAUAAGUAAAUGAGAACCGUGCUUUGGAGAGUGCAUCAGUAAAUAAAAUCAACUGGUAUUAGGCUUGUUUUACAAUUAAACCUACAACCAUUUUGCCAUUUUUUUUUCCGUAUUGUUUUUCUGUAGGUGAUGAUUAUUACUAUCCUCCUAAGUAUUACUAAGCUAGAAAGCUACAAUGAAGUAAAUGACAACUUUUUCCAUUUUUUUAUUUUGUGCCUUAAAAUUAUUGUUACUGAAAUAUAGCGAUUGAAUACUGGGUGCAAAAAAAAAGAAAAAAGAAAACCAAUAUAUAUAUAUAUAUAUCCAUCCUAAAAAUAAGUCUAAGAAAUUUUAGUAUAUUAUCACAAACCAUGUUUUGUAGUUCAUUGCAGAGAAUUUAAUUAUACUUCUUACUCUGUGGUUAGUCCAUGUCUGUUUCCUCAUUUCUGUGCUUUGCAAGCAGACUAGUUUUGGCAUAUAAGUCAAAGGGACAGAGUGUGCUUAAUGAGCUCUGAGCCCUAACUUUAAUCCCCAGGAGCAAAAAAAAAA